rnacentral:rRNA from 1 species
AUUGAACGCUGGCGGCGUGCUUAACACAUGCAAGUCGAACGUGAAAGUCCUUCGGGGCGAGUAAAGUGGCGCACGGGUGAGUAACGCGUGGAUAAUCUACCCUUAAGAUGGGGAUAACGGCUGGAAACGGUCGCUAAUACCGAAUACGCUCCCGAUUUUAUCGUUGGGGGGAAAGAUGGCCUCUGCUUGCAAGCUAUCGCUUAAGGAUGAGUCCGCGUCCCAUUAGCUAGUUGGCGGGGUAACGGCCCACCAAGGCGACGAUGGGUAGCCGGUCUGAGAGGAUGACCGGCCACACUGGAACUGGAACACGGUCCAGACUCCUACGGGAGGCAGCAGUGGGGAAUAUUGCGCAAUGGGCGAAAGCCUGACGCAGCGACGCCGCGUGAGGGAUGAAGGUUCUCGGAUCGUAAACCUCUGUCAGGGGGGAAGAAACCCCCUCGUGUGAAUAAUGCGAGGGCUUGACGGUACCCCCAAAGGAAGCAC